rnacentral:rRNA from 1 species
AUUGAACGCUGGCGGCAUGCCUUACACAUGCAAGUCGAACGGUAACGGGCCUUCGGGUGCCCACGAGUGGCGAACGGGUGAGUAAUACAUCGGAACGUGCCCGAUCGUGGGGGAUAACGAGGCGAAAGCUUUGCUAAUACCGCAUACGAUCUACGGAUGAAAGCAGGGGACCGCAAGGCCUUGCGCGGACGGAGCGGCCGAUGGCAGAUUAGGUAGUUGGUGGGAUAAAAGCUUACCAAGCCGACGAUCUGUAGCUGGUCUGAGAGGAUGAUCAGCCACACUGGGACUGAGACACGGCCCAGACUCCUACGGGAGGCAGCAGUGGGGAAUUUUGGACAAUGGGCGCAAGCCUGAUCCAGCCAUGCCGCGUGCAGGAUGAAGGCCUUCGGGUUGUAAACUGCUUUUGUACGGAACGAAAAGCCUUCUUUUAAUACAGGAGGGUCAUGACGGUACCGUAAGAAUAAGCACCGGCUAACUACGUG